UACGAGGGGAGCAAGCGUUGUUCGGAUUUACUGGGCGUAAAGCGCACGUAGGCGGAUCUUUAAGUCAGGGGUGAAAUCCUGGAGCUCAACUCCAGAACUGCCUUUGAUACUGGGGAUCUCGAGUCCGGGAGAGGUGAGUGGAACUGCGAGUGUAGAGGUGAAAUUCGUAGAUAUUCGCAAGAACACCAGUGGCGAAGGCGGCUCACUGGCCCGGUACUGACGCUGAGGUGCGAAAGCGUGGGGAGCAAACAGG
rnacentral:rRNA from 1 species